rnacentral:rRNA from 1 species
UACGUAGGCAGCGAGCGUUGUUCGGAAUUACUGGGCGUAAAGAGUGUGUAGGCGGUGCUCUAAGUUCGGUGUGAAAACCUGAGGCUCAACCUCAGGCCUGCAGUCGAUACGGGCGGACUUGAGUACUGCAGGGGAGACUGGAAUUCCUGGUGUAGCGGUGAAAUGCGCAGAUAUCAGGAGGAACACCGGUGGCGAAGGCGGGUCUCUGGGCAGUAACUGACGCUGAGGAGCGAAAGCGUGGGGAGCGAACAGG